rnacentral:lncRNA from 1 species
ACAGUGCAGUUCAGGAAACCAGGCUGAAGAAUGUGAAAUACAUCGCCCAAAGUCAGACACGGAGGAACAACUGCUUCGGAGCUAGCAAUUUCCUGAGCUGGAAUUGCACCACUGGCCUGUAGAAUCCAAACUGUUUUCUACCAGAACAACUCCUUCCCUGCAGGAAGCAGGGUGUGCACAGCUGAACCCUGGUCUGAGAAGGUUGAAGUCACUGACUCAGCCCCAGCAAGGAAGUUGCCCUUCGACUUCUGACCUCUGGCCCUGUUUGAAAACCAACUCAAAUCGUUUUUCUUUUUCAGAAGCUGCUUGCCUCCGCUUCACCUUCCACCAUGAUUGUAAGUUUCCUGAGGCCUCCCAGUCAUGCUUGCCGUUAAAACUGUGGAACUGUCCUGUAAGCAGAUGAGCAGAUGAACAGAAGAGCAGAAGAGCAGCACAGCCGAGAAGGAAUGAAUGGCACAGCAGAGAAGGAGAGAAGAGAAG